rnacentral:rRNA from 1 species
AUUGAACGCUGGCGGCAUGCUUUACACAUGCAAGUCGAACGGUAACAGGCCUUCGGGUGCUGCCGAGUGGCGAACGGGUGAGUAAUGCAUCGGAACGUACCCAGAGGUGGGGGAUAACGCAGCGAAAGCUGUGCUAAUACCGCAUGUGAUCUGAGGAUGAAAGCGGGGGACCGAGCAGCAAUGUUUGGCCUCGCGCCUUUGGAGCGGCCGAUGUCGGAUUAGCUAGUUGGUGGGGUAAAGGCCUACCAAGGCGACGAUCCGUAGCUGGUCUGAGAGGACGACCAGCCACACUGGGACUGAGACACGGCCCAGGCUCCUACGGGAGGCAGCAGUGGGGAAUCUUGGACAAUGGGCGCAAGCCUGAUCCAGCAAUGCCGCGUGCGGGAAGAAGGCCUUCGGGUUGUAAACCGCUUUUGGCAGGAACGAAACGGUGUCCGCUAAUACCGGGCGCUAAUGACGGUACCUGCAGAAUAAGCACCGGCUAACUACGUG